rnacentral:rRNA from 1 species
GGCAGACGGGUGAGUAAUGUAUAGGAAUCUACCUAGUAGUACGGAAUAAUUGUUGGAAACGGCAACUAAUACCGUAUACGCCCUACGGGGGAAAAAUUUAUUGCUAUUAGAUGAGCCUAUAUUAGAUUAGCUAGUUGGUGGAGUAAUAGCCUACCAAGGCAAUGAUCUAUAGCUGAUCUGAGAGGAUGAUCAGCCACACUGGAACUGAGAUACGGUCCAGACUUCUACGGGAGGCAGCAGUGGGGAAUAUUGGACAAUGGGCGAAAGCCUGAUCCAGCCAUGUCGCAUGAGUGAAGAAGGCCUUUGGGUUGUAAAGCUCUUUUAGUGAGGAAGAUAAUGACGGUACUCACAGAAGAAGUCCUGGCUAACUCCGUGCCAGCAGCCGCGGUAAUACGGAGAGGGCUAGCGUUAUUCGGAAUUAUUGGGCGUAAAGGGCGCGUAGGCUGAUUAAUAAGUUAAAAGUGAAAUCCCGAGGCUUAACCUUGGAAUUGCUUUUAAAACUAUUAAUCUAGAGAUUGAAAGAGGAUAGAGGAAUUCCUGAUGUAGAGGUAAAAUUCGUAAAUAUUAGGAGGAACACCAGUGGCGAAGGCGUCUAUCUGGUUCAAAUCUGACGCUGAGGCGCGAAGGCGUGGGGAGCAAACAGGAUUAGAUACCCUGGUAGUCCACGCUGUAAACGAUGAAUGUUAAAUAUGGGAAGUUUACUUUCUGUAUUACAGCUAACGCGUUAAACAUUCCGCCUGGGGACUACGGUCGCAAGAUUAAAACUCAAAGGAAUUGACGGGGACCCGCACAAGCGGUGGAGGCA